CAGACAACCAGGAUGUUGGCUUAGAAGCAGCCACUCAUUCAAAGAGUGCGUAAUAGCUCACUGGUCGAGUGAUCCUGCGCCGAAGAUUUCCGGGGCUAAAACUUACUACCGAAGCUACGGCAUCAGUAAUGAUGGGGAGGGGAGCUUCCCAUACGGGUUGAAGCAUGACCGUAAGGACAUGUGGACAGUAUGGGAGUGAGAAUGUUGGCAUGAG
rnacentral:rRNA from 1 species